CACAGACUUCAAACCCAAUGGUGGCGACCAGCGGUUUGAACGCUACUUUUUCGAUUCCA
rnacentral:tRNA from 14 species